GUUGUAUGGAAACCAAUUUGACAAUAAAUUUCAUAUAUUGAAAAAAAUAAAAAAUAAAAAAAAUAAACUUGAAAACAAAAACAAAAAACAAUUGUGACUUUUAAAAGACUGUUUAAUGAAAUGUGUUAAUAUAUGGAAGAUCUGAGUAGCUCAGCAAACCAAAUUUCCCCCAAAUGGCCAAAGUUUGAUGUUACAAAAUAAUCUGUGGGUAAAAUAUCAUUUGAAAUGCAAUGGAUUUUAAAGUAAUGCGGUUAACAAAGUUCAUUGAUAAUGAUUUUGGAUUCCACAUGCAAACUGACUUUUAAUAAACUGCCACUUAUUGAUUCUUAGUACAGUAUCAAAGAAGAAUAUCCAUAAUUAUCUGAAAAGGCAAUUAAAAUACUCUUCCUUGUUCAAAUUGCAUAUCCAGAUUUUCUUCACAUAUUUCAAUCAAAAUGGCAUACCAGAAUAGUUUGAAUGCAGAAACAGCUAUGACAAUCCAGAUUUCAAAAUCUUUCUGUCCUAAUUAUUUUUUUGUCUUGGAAAAUAUGGUUAAUUUCCAUAAAAUCUCUAUUCAUAUUUACAUAUGAGUUUAUUAUUUUUAUUGCAUAAUAAAUACAUACUUUACCAAUUUCUCAGUUUUAAUGGAUAUAAUCUACAUGACCAAGAGUUCUUUGGAAUCUUCAGUAAUAUAUUUUUUAAAUUCUUCUUAAUGUUUAUUUAUAUUUUGAGAGAGAGACAGAGCAUGAGUGGGGGAGGGACAGAGAGAGCGAAGACACAGAAUCCGAAGCAAGCUCUAGGCUCUGAGCUAUCCACACUGAGCCCCAUGCGGCGCAUGUACCCACAAACCGUGAGAUCAUGACCUGAGCCAAAGUCGGAUGCUUAAUGGACUGAGCCAGCCAGAUGCCCCCUAAAUCCCCAAUAAUUUUUCAGAGCAUAAAGGAGACUUGUGACCCCAAAGUGUGAGAACUGCAGUCUCCAAAGAAAGAUAAGACAGCAUGCUUUCCUUUAGUUUGCUAUGAUUGGUUAAGGGUAGAGGUAAAAAGAGAAAAUGCUCACAUCAGAUAGUGAUGGGAUAGAUAACACAAUUAGUGGUUACAUUUUUCUUUUUACCCUCUUCUCUUGUAGUUGAGGUCUGUUAUGGCUUGCUAUUUUCUGACAAUAUGGAUAAACAUUCUAAGUCACAUAACCCUGUUGUGGGUGAAAGUGAAGCAUUUCCUUAUCAGUUAUACAGACUAUUUAUAUUCAUCAUGUUUAUGGUUUCAGACCCAGAACUGGCUAAAAUUGGAAAAUUCAUCUUACAUUACAAUUUUCUUUUUCCACAGCUAAAAACUUAAGAAAAUACCUAGAUACCAUGGUCAUAUCUAUGAUGUUGAAGUUAUGGUUCCCAACCCACAAUGAAGAAAUUGCUUAUUGAAAACAAGUGCUUUCCAAAGAAAGAUCCAAUAUGGGUGAUCAAUGAGAUGCCGGAAGAAUCCGCCGCAAUGGUCAGGAUUACAGACUGAGAAAGGAGGUUGCUGAGCACUGAUGACAUCACAGAGCGACUGACCGUACAGGCUGGAUUUUUCCUACAAGCUUCUUACUUGUGUAGUGCUUCUCACUGGCAGACCUGGAGCUACAUGGGGAAGGGGAUCCCGGAAAACGUGAAGCUCGGCUUCUCUUUAUUAUGAAAGAGCAAGGAAAUGAUAUCGAAAGCAGACUACCCUAGGUGAAUCUACAAAGACCUCAAAAUAAAAAUUCUAGUUAACUCUGAGAUAUGGAACCUUCAGCACAGGAUUUGAAGAAAGGAUUCCAGCACUGAGCAGAAGACGGUUAUGGAGAAAGAGAGGGGUGUGAACAAGAUGUCACUCCCAAUCCCUUUCCUGAAGGAGGUUGACUUCGUCCAUUUGGCAGGGCAGGCUUUUAAAGAUUUGGCUCAUUGAUAUUUUUAAUUGGUAAACUGGGGAGAGACCAAUUAUUCAAUCCUCUCUUUUGAGGUCGAAUAAUGCAGAGGCUCUUUGGAUGAUGCAAAGUCUCAUUCAAAAAAGGAAUUCUCCAGGGAAAACUGAAACAAGUGGGGGUCAUGCAACUACUUCUGGCCAAUGGAUUGUAAGCAGAAAUCUCUGCUUGAGACCCUCCAAACUGCUUUUCCUUCUGGCAUGAAGACUAGCAAUAUUCAAGAUGACAGCUUGUCCACUGGCCUGGAACCCUGAGUGACUCUAAGGAGCAAAGCCUUACUGAUGACCUAUAAAGGACAUAAAGCAUAAGCGAUGCAGGAAUAGGACUUCGGGUAACUUUUUUGAUCUGUGCUGGGUCAUACAGUGAGUAAUAGAACCAGGUCCUUGGAAUCCAGUCCUUUUGGUUCUUUAUUACACUUUGCAGAGCAAUAAAAAUAAUGCAAAGAGAUGGUUAAACACAAUGUACUUUUCACUUUUCCUUAAUGUUUUUCUUCAGGCAUCUGAUUUACAUAGGUGCUUUUCACUUUGGGGGAGACAUAACCAAAAUCUUGGAAUGGUUUAGACCUUCUGUGAUAAAUAGUUUGCCAUUUAGUCAAGCAGGUUAAAAAUUAAAGCAGGCAUCAACUAGAAGUCAUUGUUUCCAGGUUUAUAAAGUGCUUUGCAGAAGGCAAUCUGGUGAGAGUUUUGAAUGGAUUGUCAUGUGUUUGAUUAAACGGUCCGGGCAAAUACCCCUGAAGCUUACAGAACAGAGCCUUUAUUUUCAAAGAAACUCAGUUGCAUUUAGCCUGGCUGAACUAGCCCUUUGAAAGUCAGGACAAUGACAAGAGGAGCCAGUAGUCAAACACUCUUAGGGUCAAACUGGAAAGGCAUUAUUCCAUAAACUUUCUAUUUUUUCCAUAGUAAAAAAAUUAAUAGAUUUCUAUCAGGACAGCCUUCCAGGAGGACUGGAAGUACCUAUUCUCUCUCUCUCCUUAAAAAAAUUUUUUUUAAUCUACUGGCAUAACAUUAUACAUCAUAAUUUUUUUUUCAUAAUCACAUUAAGAGAAAACUUUUAUUUUGUGUCUUUCAUUUAAAUCUUGAAAUAUACAUAUUAUGAUUAUAUAUACAUAUAUUAUUUUUCAAAUAAUUUUCAUACAAAAGAUAUUACAGUCUUGGCAACGUGCUUUAAAAGAAUUUCCAAACCAGACAAAAUAUUCUGAACAUCUCCUCGUGUCAAUCAUUUAUCUAUAUAUGAUUUCUAACACAUACAUGCUAUUAUACUGUAUGGGUCCAUAGUAAUUUAUUGCACCCAUCCUUACUUUUAGACAUCUAGGUUAAUUCCAGCUUUUCACAGGUGCAAAUAAAUAAUGCUGGAUAAACAGCCUUGAAAGUGAAUUUCUGCCCUUAACUCUGGUGUGUUUUAGGUGGUAGUCUUAAACCCAUUUAAAGUAUGGGGAUUAUUAUCACAGUAAUAGCUAACAUUCACUGAGCAUAUUGUAAGUAGGCCAGUGACCUAAAACAAGUUUCUCUGUCUCCAGAUUUCUUGUUUUUGCUUUUGCUCAGGAGUAUUUUGUCUACCACUGGGAAUCUGAGAGGCUGGCUUUGUCAGUCGCUAUCUAGUGUGACCCGAGAACCGAGUCACCAGGUCCACACUCAAGAGGAGGGGUUGCACAAGACAAGAAUACUGGAAAUGAAGAUUAUUGGGAGUCAUCUUAGAAGCUGCCUACCACAUAACUGUAUCACAAAUUCACUUUUUAGUGUUUCAAUAACUGCAUGUUAAUAAAAUCAAUUUCCUUUGUA